GGAGCAGUUACUGUGAGAUCAUGAGGCAACAAUCAUGAAGACAGGACUAAGAAGACAGCAGAGAUGAGGAUUCCCUACACUGCAGAGCUACUGAACAACCUCAAAGCUGCUUUUCUUCAGUGUACCCUAGGCUGGCCCAGUGCUUUCCGGUAAACGCCCAACUUGAAGGAUGUAUAUCACCCUGAGCUCCACCCUAGGCCUACUGAAUCACCACCUGCAGUUUCACAAGAUCCCCACGUGAUUAAAAUGCACCUGAAGUUUCUCAAGCACGGUUGAGAAUCAGGACCUCUUUGUGAGCUUAUCCUGCCAGGACACCCUUCUCUGCGUGCCAUGGACUAUGCCUUGCUUUCUGCUCACACCAUGUACUUGUUUCUAUCACAGCAUUUGCCUCCACAUUCCUCUUGGACCAUCUCUAAGGUUCUUGAGAUGAGGAAGAGCACCUGAUUCGAUUCUCGUCCUCAGGAACUGGCAAAGGUAUAGCAUGGAGUGAGACUUAAUAAAUGCUUCCUCAACAAAUUCA